rnacentral:lncRNA from 1 species
AUUAGCGAUAAUUUUCCGUUUCAGUCACCCCCCUUCACUGACCCUUUAACCCUUCUCUCUCUGCCAACCGCACCACAACACCUCCAAUUUGUACAUUCAGCAGUUUAAUUCACUCUUGCAACUCAUACCCCAACCACUGUAUAGGACUAGUCAGGCCCUCACAUCCCAUAUCCCAUGUAGGAACCUAGCCACCACAAUAACAUCCACAAAUCGCACUUACCUACAAUCCCCAAAUGGGAGCAAAAAACAAAAACGAAAAUACCAAGAAGACAUGGAAAGACACCCCCACAAUACAGCAUAAACAUAGACUGUACACCCCAGUUUCUGUUCAUAUUAUUCUGUUAUGCUGCAUUAUAUUAUGUUUUGUUUCUUAAUAAGUCAAGACAUGGAUUGACACAUGUAACCACUAAU